GAUGAAGAACGCAGCGAAAUGCGAUACGUAAUGUGAAUUGCAGAAUUCAGUGAAUCAUCGAAUCUUUGAACGCAUAUUGCGCUCUCUGGUAUUCCGGAGAGCAUGCUUGUUUGAGUAUCAGUAAACACCUCAACUCCCUUUUCUUUUUUGAAAUUGGAGCUGGACUUGAGUGAUCCCAACGCUUUCUUCCAAGAAAGUGGCGGGUUGCUUGAAAUGCAGGUGCAGCUGAACUUUUCUCUGAGCUAUAAGCAUAUCUAUUUAGUCUGCCUAAAAAACAGAUUAUUACCUUUGCUGCAGCUAACAUAAAGGAGAUUAGUUCUUGUGCUGACUGAUGCAGGAUUCACAAAGACAGGCUUCGGCCGACUUUGUAAACUCGAUCUCAAAUCAAGUAAGACUACCCGCUGAACUUAAGCAUAUCAAUAAGCGGAGGA
rnacentral:misc_RNA from 1 species